rnacentral:lncRNA from 1 species
CCUCGAGAUAAUCGAAUCUCCACGAUUAACGACGCCUUUAUGGGUGAUGCUGAAUGCCCGCAAUCUGUACAGAUCCUCCCCCGCUCUCGGAUUGUACGCUUUCUCCGGCAGGCUGUGCACUCGUGGCCUGAUGUGAUCCGGCACUGAAACGUAUCGAUGGACGGUUAAUUAAAACCAACCUAUUAGUUCAACGUAAACAGAUAUAAACGCGCGGACAUUCCAUUAAUUGGAUAGAUAUCUCUUCGCAGAUCUACGUUCUAACUUUUCAAUUUAUUUAUCUUUCAAUCAACUAGUCGAAAUAACGAUUCUCCCUUCGACGAUUUGUUGAUAGGACAAAUAUAUCGUGCACGUGUAUUCGAUCGAUUCGAAGGGAGCAAACAGAUCGAAAGAGAAAAGCGUCUUGAAUUUUUAAUUAUUUGCCUGUCACGAUAUUAACGGAUCGUUUUCGAUUCGCGUUCAACUAUCUAUCUCAUCGAUUCUUCUUUUUUUUCAUUCCUCCCCCUCCCUCCCUUUUCUCUCUUUAGGUUUGGAAAUUUUCCAAUUGCGAAACGAUCCUCGUGAUCAAAGCGACGCGACACGUGGAACACCAGCCAUGCUUCUGCCUUCGAGGGCUUCCCAAUUUCCUGUCCCAACAACUAACUAGCCAACGUCUUUUAUGUCUGCCUGUCAAUUUCCAUACGUGCUUCUUUCUUUCUUUUUUUUUUCCUUUUUUUUUUUUUAUAUAUAACACUCGAAACACAAAGAGAGCAGCGUGUACAUAGGCGGAGGGGGAGGGAAAAAAUGAUACUCCAUUUUUCGUCUCAAUCUCGCGUGAAAAUUCGAUUUAUCUCUGUGCGCAAAUUUCACUCAAAUUUUGUUUGGUUUCAACAAAUGAAACAACCGAACCGUUCCCUUCAGUUUCAAAAACUAACUUUUGUAGCGUACAAUUUUAUUAAACUUUUUCCUAUCCACGUAUCAUCUUCAGGGCCAAUAAUAUUAUUAUAUUGCGCGGGCACAAUAUUUUGUCAGCCGGUCUAUCUCUUCGCAAUCUAUUUCACGUUUCGUGUAUAUUUGAAUAUCAAUCUAUAGAAAUAUGAAACGAUACAGGGAGUUGACGUUUUUAAGGGAUACCCGUGAUCCUGCAUUCAAAGAGACGCUCCGAAACGCGACAGCGACGAAGUAUCAUCGGGUCUCCGCCUUUAUAACUUGACACAAACAGCCGACUUAUAUACAUAUAUAUCACAUAUAUAUCACAUCUCCAUAAAUUACGACAAUUCAAGGAGCAUAGAACGAAUUACAAAUUGUUGAAUUAUAUCUCCUUCGUAUCGAUGUAUUCGGAAUUGGUCCAAGUCGACCGAAUGGCGACAAGAAAGAUGGAAAGAUGGACGAUUGCUCUCGAUUUUCUCCAAUAUUCCAAUUUUGUUGGAUACGACGAGCGACACUUGGCUCGUUGACACAGAAGGACGCUACAGAAGUUCGAAAUGGAGGCCGCGCAGCGUUUGGGCGCAUCGACAAAGGUUGGCUCCACCAUUUAAUGCGGUUACAACUCGACGAGGCACUCAAGAAGUUCGUCUCCCGGACCGAGUAGCUAAUUACGGCGAACGAGGGCGGGUGCAACUUCGCCUCGACGAAAUUAACGGCGAAUUUUCGUCGAUUCCGUGGGAAAUUUCAAUGCCAGAGACCGGACUUGGACGGAACAGAAACGUUCUUCGAUUAAUCAGACGAGAGCUCGGUCCGAUUUUCCUUUCGCUUGAAAUCCUCGACGAAAGGAUAAAACUUUGGCAAAUGUCGAGAUAUACAAGAGAGAGGAAGAGGAAGGGAGAUAAAUCAUAGUUGGCGCACAAUUUAAUUAUCCAUAAUUUAAUUUUAACGAAAAAACACUCGGUGGUUGGGUCGCUCUCGAAGAAACAGCAAUGGUGAAUAAUUAAAUGGAUACGAGAAUGAUAAAUGAAAGAAAGGAUUUCGAGACGUUGGAUGCAACGCGUCUGAUCUGACCCGUCUUACUCUUCUUUCUUUACUCUUCCAACGAGAUGGAAGAGUAUAUGUGUGUGUUGAAGUACGAGUUGACUUUGAACGAGAAGAGAUGCCUGAAACAAAUAACUGUUCCUCCAAAGAGUUCAUUGCUGUUUAUAUUGUGAAUCUUCGUCUUCACUGGUGAUCUUCACUUUUUCCCUCGAAAUUGAGACGUGAUUGAAUUCUCGAUUGAUUCUCCAAAGGAUCUAGGUUAGAUUCUAAUUGAUUUUUGCUUUCGAUGAAUAUUAAUUUUCCUUCCAAUAAUUAUUCUCGACGAAAAAAUGUAAUUAAGAUGGAUUUAGAGAGAACGAAUGGAGGAUGAUUUUCAAAAAACUAUGGGUUAUCGUGUUUGGGGGCCAGGAUCCUUGCAACUGCUUUUCCGAUCGCAAGACACUUGACGCGCGCAAAUAUGAUUUAUGAAGCGGUUUCCAUUACCAUUGCGUUUCAAUAGUUUCUGGAAUACUUGCUAUUAAGAGUUUGGAACAAUAUGAAACUCGUUCGUAAAUUAAGAAGAGAAAUCUUCGCUAAGAAAUUGGAAAGUUAAACUAUUGAGAGUGUUGAAGCUAUUGAAAAAGUGAAAUUCAAACUAUCUUAUUUUAUAGAUAGUGAUUGUCUUUUAUUCUUAACAAUAUAUAUAUAUAUAUAGAAUACGUUUGGAAAAUCAGAUUGUUCAGAUUUCAAAGCAAAGAUUUAUUGAAAGAUUUAUUAUAAACAAUUGAAAAUAUAUUCUUCCUGCACUCUCGAUUGAUAUACCAAUUUUUGUGUUCGUUUUGGCGAAUAUGCAUAUGAAAAAAAUUGCAAUAAUUUUUCUUUUUUAUCGAAUUCAACACAACAUAUAUAUCUGACAAGUGAUGAAAUAAGAAUGUUGCGAUAUUCGUACUCUUGAAAUAUUUACCAGGCGAAUGAAUGAAAAUACGGUACAUUUUUUUUUUUUUUUGCAAACGAUAUUGCACGUGCCGCGAGAAAGAAGAAGAAAAAAAAAACGAUAAAAGUAUUCGACAAAACCUAUCAAAGAACGACUCGCGCAAACGUAUCGUAUCUGACCGUUGCAUCUUGUGUGUGUGUAUAUGUGUGCACUUUCUCGGUCAUUCUUUCCUUUUUGAAAACGAAACUGAAACGUUUUGUUCCCGAUCUAAGGAUUCCUCCCUUUUCACGAAUAUUAUCUCCUAUAUUUUCCUUCUAUAUUCACCGCGUUAAAUAAUACAACUUUUCCUUUAUAGAGGAGAACUCCGCCUGUUAUAUCUCAAGAUUGUCCUUAUUAUAUACUGUGUUAUAAUCCUAUUGUAGGGGGCGAGGAAAAAUGAGAGAACCCGGUGGAAUUUGAAAGCCUGCUCCCUCGCUACAUUAUUGCUCUUUUAUGGCGAAUCCAAUCUCGCGCUAUUAUUUGAAAGAGGGAGAAAGGGAAGAAAAGAAUGACAACAUACGCGUUUUAAAGUCUUACGGGGAAUAGUUAUAUAUAUAGUUGUGUAAGUAUUUGCUUCAAAAUUGGAAAAAAAAAAGAAGAAGAAGAAAAGAAAAAAUGUAUCAUCGACAAUAUAGAAAAUAACUCGAAACCGAACGAAUGCGCCGUUAUCACUAUUAACGUUAACAAUAAACCGAUAAUUUUCAUCGAUUUUCUGUAUCUCUCUAGUCAAUGAGAAUUCAAAAAAUAUUCGUUAUCGCAUCGAUCCGUUUUCCCACCCUUUUUUUCCCUCCGCGAAUCACAGCCAAUUAGCAACGCUUUCUAAUAUCUCCGGUUUUAAUACCGCAUGCUCUGGUCUCCGCGGAUCACUCCACGGGGGAAAAAAAAGGAGAAAGCCUGUCGCGAUAGCUUGUUUACGGAAAGUAUUUGUCCAGCGACGUAAUUAAUUUCCAACCUACUCCUCGAUACUCGAGGGUAAUCCGCCACUUUGAUACGGCUAUAUCGACGCGCAUCGUCGAGAAAAUUGCAGGAUGAGCGAAUCGACAGACAGCAUUGCGAAACAUUGCGACCGAGGACAGGAAACUAUUCUUCGCGUUCCUUCUCUUUACGGCGACAUUCACGGAUUCCUCGAUGGAAAGUUGCUCUCGAGAUCGAAAAAAAAGAAACGUUUUCGAUGUGAAAUGGACGUUGAACACGCGAAACUUUCGCGAUCGUAUCUAAGAAAAGUGGAAACAAAUCUAUGGGACGGGAUGGAUACUUUUUUCCAUUUUUCUUCCCUUUCUUUUUUCUUUCCCCUUCCUGUUAAACAGCGACGUUUUGACGAAUGAACGGCACUUAGGUAUCGAUAAGAAGAGAAAAAACCAGAGAGCGAAGGGAGGAAGCGAUUUCUUCUGUCAAGAUGAGGAGGGGGAGAGGGAGUGGAUCGUUCGAAUGCAUCAAGUUGAGCACGCGUGCACAUUUAUUUCGGUUUGACGGAGAGGAGAGACCUCGUUUCGAAUUGUGCAUUGAAAGUUUAAACGAGGGCGAGCCGCGGUACUGCGUCGUCGACGCUUCCGAUACGUUUCAAUGUAAACAGCAAGGCGCGAUUAAAAAAUACCGGUAACAAUA